GACGAACGCUAGCGGCGUGCUUAACACAUGCAAGUCGAACGGGCCUUGUCCCCUUUUUUUUUGGGGGUGGGGUUAGUGGCGAACGGGUGAGUAACACGUGAGUAACCUGCCCCUCACUUCUGGAUAACCGCUUGAAAGGGUGGCUAAUACGGGGUGUUCUGGCCUGCUCGCAUGGGUGGGUUUGGAAAGAUUCGACCGGUUUUGGUUGUUUUGGUGGGGGAUGGGCUCGCGGCCUAUCAGCGUGUUGGUGGGGGGAUGGCCUGCCAAGGCUUUGACGGGUAGCCGGCCUGAGAGGGUGGGCGGUCACACUGGGACUGAGACACGGCCCAGACUCCUACGGGAGGCAGCAGUGGGGAAUAUUGCACAAUGGGCGCAAGCCUGAUGCAGCGACGCCGCGUGAGGGAUGGAGGCCUUCGGGUUGUGAACCUCUUUCGCCAGUGAAGAAGGUCCUGCUCUUUGUGGUGGGGUUGACGGUAGCUGGGUUAAUGAAGCGCCGGCUAACUACGUG
rnacentral:rRNA from 1 species